rnacentral:rRNA from 1 species
UACAGAGGGGGGCAAGCGUUGUUCGGAAUUACUGGGCGUAAAGGGCGCGUAGGCGGCCCGCUAAGUCGAACGUGAAAUCCCCGGGCUCAACCCGGGAACUGCGUCCGAUACUGGCAGGCUUGAAUCCGGGAGAGGGAUGUGGAAUUCCAGGUGUAGCGGUGAAAUGCGUAGAUAUCUGGAGGAACACCGGUGGCGAAGGCGGCAUCCUGGACCGGUAUUGACGCUGAGGCGCGAAAGCCAGGGGAGCAAACGGG